rnacentral:tRNA from 1 species
GCGCCAGUAGCUCAGCCUGGAUAGAGCGACGGACUCCGGAUCCGUAGGUCGGUGGUUCGAAUCCACUCUGGCGUACCA